rnacentral:misc_RNA from 1 species
GGAGUUUGCUAUUUGUUUUUUACUUU